rnacentral:rRNA from 1 species
CCAUCAGAACUCCGCAGUCAAGCACGCUUGGGCCAGUAUAGUACUGGGAUGGGUGACCUCCCGGGAAGUCCUGGUGCUGCACCC